GCUAUCAUUUGCUCUGGACCAGGUGGCGGGAUCUAGGGUUCUGUUGUCACCGCGCUAGGGAGCGGUCAGGCUGGGCGGCGGGGCCGGGCUCGGGGGUUGCAGUAAAUGAGACACCGCUGCUGGUUGCCAGACUUGGUGUAGAAGGUAAAGCACAGUGAAAUAAUUGAAGAUGGCCCCUAAUAUAAACUGGAAAGAAAUCAUGAAAGUUGACCCAGAUGACCUUCCUCGUCAAGAAUUGGCAGAUAAUUUAUUGAUUUCCUUAUCUAAUAAAACCAAUUAAAAACUAAAGUAAUGAAACUGGAAAAUGAACUGGAGGUGCUAUUCUAGGCCUUUCGGAUAUACACUGGAGAACAAAACAAAGAUCCCAGGCCUACUGAACUUAUAUUCUCACAAGGAGACUGACAAUAAACAUCAGAGGGAAAUUCUCAGGAAUGAGAAACAUAUCAGAGCAGGUCAGAAAAGAUGAAACCUCCUCCAUUAUUCCACCAGAUUCUGUCACCCUCAACAGAGAGGUUGUGGCUGGCAUUGAUUUUUUUUUCUGAUAAAUCAGAAUAUUGUCAGGCCAGGAACAAGAAGAAAAGAGUCACUGACAGCUUUAUUUCUUGGGAUCUUGAAGGACUGACCCAACUUAGAUGGUCCUGGAGGAAUUCAAAGCAAAUAAAUACAUAUACACCUGGGUAUGUCUAAAUAAAUUUAUUUCCAAGAACUACUAGGUGUUGAGAAACCAUGCAGAGUUUUGAAUAGAGGAGGUGGACAUCAACUGCAGAACCCUUAUUGAAGU